AACGAACGCUGGCGGCAUGCCUAACACAUGCAAGUCGAACGAGACCUUCGGGUCUAGUGGCGCACGGGUGCGUAACGCGUGGGAACCUGCCCCUAGGUUCGGAAUAACUCAGAGAAAUUUGAGCUAAUACCGGAUAAUGUCUUCGGACCAAAGAUUUAUCGCCUUUGGAUGGGCCCGCGUAGGAUUAGCUUGUUGGUGGGGUAAUGGCCUACCAAGGCGACGAUCCUUAGCUGGUCUGAGAGGAUGAUCAGCCACACUGGGACUGAGACACGGCCCAGACUCCUACGGGAGGCAGCAGUGGGGAAUAUUGGACAAUGGGCGAAAGCCUGAUCCAGCAAUGCCGCGUGAGUGAUGAAGGCCUUAGGGUUGUAAAGCUCUUUUACCAGGGAUGAUAAUGACAGUACCUGGAGAAUAAGCUCUGGCUAACUCCGUG
rnacentral:rRNA from 1 species